rnacentral:rRNA from 1 species
CCUACGGGGAGCAGCAGUGAGGAAUAUUGGUCAAUGGACGAGAGUCUGAACCAGCCAAGUAGCGUGAAGGAUGACUGCCCUAUGGGUUGUAAACUUCUUUUAUAUGGGAAUAAAAUGUUCCACGUGUGGGAUUUUGUAUGUACCAUAUGAAUAAGGAUCGGCUACACCGUACCAGCAGCCGCGGUAAUACGGAGGUACCGAGCGUUAUACGGAUUUAUUGGGUUUAAAGGGAGCGUAGGUGGAUUGUGAAGUCAGUUGUGAAAAUUUGCGGCUCAACCGUAAAAUUGCAGUUGAAACUGGCAGUCUUGAGUACAGUAGAGGUGGGCGGAAUUCGUGGUGUAGCGGUGAACUGCUUAGAUAUCACGAAGAACUCCGAUUGCGAAGGCAGCUCACUGGACUGCAACUGACACUGAGGCUCGAAAGUGUGGGUAUCAAACAGGAUUAGAUACCCUUGUAGUC